GAUACAAUUUUGGCUAAUAAAAUCUUUCUCAAGAGAAGUAGGAUUUGGUUAGAUCAUGAUCUUAUACCUCUACAAGUGAAGCAAUGCGAAAAUAGUUAUAUGUGAGUGCAGAUACGAUUUGGAAAAUUGUUGACAUCAUCAACAUUGUGGAGACGCGGGAACACGGGAACAACACUUGUAGAGGUGUAAUAUCAGGAUCUAACCAAAUCUUACGUCCCUUGAGAAUGGCUUUAUUAGCUAAAGCCGUAUC